GCUUCCAUCAUUCAAAAAUCAUGUAGUUUAUUAGAACAAUACAGAGAAGGUUAGCAUGGCUUCUGCACAAGGAAACAUGCAAAUUCAUGAAGAUUUCAUAUUUUAA
rnacentral:snRNA from 1 species